rnacentral:rRNA from 1 species
CCUACGGGUGGCAGCAGUGGGGAAUAUUGGACAAUGGGGGGCAACCCUGAUCCAGCCAUGCCGCGUGUGUGAAGAAGGCCCUCGGGUUGUAAAGCACUUUCAGUGAGGAAGAACGCCUGGUGGUUAAUACCCAUCAGGAAAGACAUCACUCACAGAAGAAGCACCGGCUAACUCCGUGCCAGCAGCCGCGGUAAUACGGAGGGUGCGAGCGUUAAUCGGAAUUACUGGGCGUAAAGCGCGCGUAGGUGGCUUGAUAAGCCGGUUGUGAAAGCCCCGGGCUCAACCUGGGAACGGCAUCCGGAACUGUCAAGCUAGAGUGCAGGAGAGGAAGGUAGAAUUCCCGGUGUAGCGGUGAAAUGCGUAGAGAUCGGGAGGAAUACCAGUGGCGAAGGCGGCCUUCUGGACUGACACUGACACUGAGGUGCGAAAGCGUGGGUAGCAAACAGGAUUAGAUACCCCUGUAGUC